UACGAAGGGGGCUAGCGUUGUUCGGAUUUACUGGGCGUAAGGCGCACGUAGGCGGAUCGUUAAGUCGAGGGUGAAAUCCUGGAGCUCAACUCCAGAACUGCCUUCGAUACUGGCGAUCUAGAGUCCGGAAGAGGUGAGUGGAACUCCUAGUGUAGAGGUGGAAUUCGUAGAUAUUAGGAAGAACACCAGUGGCGAAGGCGGCUCACUGGUCCGGUACUGACGCUGAUGUGCGAAAGCGUGGGGAGCAAACAGG
rnacentral:rRNA from 1 species